UACGAAGGGAGCUAGCGUUGUUCGGAAUCACUGGGCGUAAAGCGCACGUAGGCGGACAUUUAAGUCAGGUGUGAAAUCCCAGAGCUCAACUCUGGAACUGCCUUUGAUACUGGGUGUCUUGAGUAUGGAAGAGGUGAGUGGAAUUCCGAGUGUAGAGGUGAAAUUCGUAGAUAUUCGGAGGAACACCAGUGGCGAAGGCGGCUCACUGGUCCAUUACUGACGCUGAGGUGCGAAAGCGUGGGGAGCAAACAGG
rnacentral:rRNA from 1 species